UCAUUCAUUCAUCCUUUGGCUGACUUGAGGACUUGAGCGGAACAGCGAGCCUUUAUUCACAGCAAGAUGACUAAGAUGUGUGUAGCUUACCUUGGAGCUCUUCUGCUGGCUCUCCAUCUCCAUCUCAUCUCAACACAGACUACGGGCGGCACCACAAAGGCGCCAAUGAGCGAUUUGACCACAAUGAGCGAUUCGACCACAAUGUCCAGCUACAACAUGACCGGGAACAUGACGGUCACCGGGAACAUGACUGGCAGCAUGAAAGGCGGCUGCGGGAGGACCGACGUCUCCGCGCUGCUGCUCCCGCUGGCGGCUGCAGUCUCUCUCCUGCUGGGUUGGUCCUAAUGACCGGACUGCUGGCUCUUCGCACACUGCCAAGACGACUGGACUGGGCACGCAAGAGCAAUUCUAUAAAGGUCCCUUCUCUCCCAAAAAUCCUGGAUUUUACCAAAUCCUCUUCUGUCUUCACUCUUUCUGGAAUUGGCUUUGAAAGGAGCGCGCUCUUUUACGCACCAACCGGGGACGCGCCCUGCUGCUCGACGUUAUGUCUUGCUGGUUUUGCAAGGACUACGAAGGUUCCUCUUGUCCGGGAAAACACCGGCCUCUUGGUUUGGGCCGUUGUCUUCUGUGGGAGACAGUUUGCGGCAAGUAUAACUCUCAUACCCCAUAACUCUCAUACAUCUGCUUCAUGAGACGCGGCCAGCUCUUUAUUCAGGUGGGCCACUUUUCUCUCAAAUUCCAUGUUGUCUAUCAGAUUUUUUGGGACUUUUCCAUCAGAGUGAGCUUUGUGUUCUCGUCAAACAGCACAUGAUUCAAGUUCUGAUUCUUGAUACCAGGCUCCACAGGCUGCAAAGUGAUUGUAAACCCAUCAAGAAAAUUUUGUAUUAUGAAAAUUGAAAUUGUGUGUAAAUGUGAUUUUAAAUCUUUAAUUUUGUAAGUCAAAUAAAGCUUUAAAUUGUAAGUGA